GGAUAAUUACUCUGAAUCUACCAGGCUGAUUAAGCCACAGCAGAUCAGCAGAAUUCAACUGUCCAGAUAGAAAGGUGGACAUGGAAAAAUUGGGCUUUGCAAAUGGUCACCCAAUUCUUGCCUUCCUGGUCUCCAGAUCACCCUUCCUAUACCGCCACUCUGGAGAAAGAAGUACAGAACGCUAACAAGGAUGGCUUGGAGUUGCAGUGGUCACCUCAGAUCUUAAGGUCACUUUGGAGAUGGAACCCCUGUGACUAGGAAUGGCAGAACAGAAAGGUAGAAAGAGAUUGAGUCCUGGGGAUGUGGCAGAGCCACCAUCCUAGCCCCGUACUGCGUACUUCUGGACUUCCUUUAAAUUGAGAGAAACAUGUUCCUACCAUAUUUAACCAUUUGGUGUUCUAAACCCCAUUCCUAGCUCUGGAAUGCCCUGGCAGAGCUGGUGCUGGCUGGGACCCCAGUGGUCCUUGGUGACCUUGCUCAGCAGUGCUCUUUCCACAAAUGACCCCACUACUAUCAUGUGCAGAACUAUCUUGGUGUGUGUGUGUGCAUGAGCAGACAUCCACAGCCAAGUAAUUUUCAAAGCUGUCAGCUCUGCUCUCCUGUAGCCUCCUGCUCCCCACUGCCUUCUCAUUUCCACCAGAGGAAGGUGAGGCUGCUGGUGAGGAGCUUUUUCCUUUUCCCUUUUCUGAAUUGUUUACUAUAUUAAACACUCAAUAUCCACUGCCCAGAAUAUUA
ensembl:lncRNA novel transcript